CUUGCAUGUUUAUGAACAGCACAAACUGUUUUUGGUCAUGGGACCCUGUUCAAGGAAAGGACUGCGAAGAUUUAAUAAUGAUCUUUAGUUAGCUUUGGUCACCCACACACCCCUGGCGCUUGAAGACUCGCCAGCUGCCUCCAAAAACCUAGCGAUGGACUUUAUUUCCAUAGGCAUUUAACAAUGAAAACAGCUGACCAAAACUAUCCAGUUUUGCUGCAGAACCGAGCCUUCCAUAAGAAUCCAGAGGGACCAUAUAAUAAAUAGAGGAGGUGAAAAAAGCCAUGAAAUAACCAAGCAUACAACAGAUAAUAACUGGCAAGCCUCAAGACCAUGAGGAUUUUGGAACAACCAAGAGGGUUCAAACAAACCACAAGUAGAGAAGAAGAAAUAACAGAAAAGCCUCUAAAGAAACUGUUCUAGCUGACAAUUGGUAGCACCAAGCCAGUAUUUACAGCACUGUUUACACUGGAGUGAGUGCACUUCUGUUCCAUCAACAUCUACAACUAAUGGCAUUUUUAGAAUCCAGGCAUGAUAAUUAAGAGACAUAACACAUCACUGUUUAGGAGAGAGUCUAAGAGAUCUAAGCAGCAUUUCUUUACAAUGUCUAUACCACUGAUGAGCAUUAGUUUGAGUGACAAAGGUCCCAAGCUAAAUCAACAU